GUAGAGUUUAUAUAUCGUUUUUCAUACGAGAGCUCUCUGGCUUUCCACCAUUCCGCAGAGCUUCAUCUCGUUUUCCCCCUUUCAACGACAGGGUUAAUUAGACUGUGACUAUUUAUUUUUCACGUCUUCGUCCGAUUUCAACAUGUUUCUCAUCUUGUUUUCUCUCAUCUUGUUUUGUUUGUGCUGUAUAUCAGGUUGUUCAAAGAAGCAUCUGAGAAACCCUAAAGAAGAAAACCUAAUCUCUACUUGCAGACAAACCCUAACUUCCCUGAGAGUGAUUUUUCUGUCUGACCUUGAAAAGAAAAAUAGAAGGUUUCUCUUACUUCUUUGUCUGCAUCUGCGUUCUUCACUCGAUAAUCUCUUCCGCUAAUCGAUUGAAGCUUUCCGAUAAGUAAAAUCGAAAUUGAUUGAUUUCGAGAAUUCCUUUUGUGCUUGAUUAUCUUAGGAAGGAAGGAUUUUGAGUUUAUUUUAUUAAUUAUUUCAGAUUUAGUUCAGGGCUUGUUCUUCCGAACAUCAGCUCCAUUGAAGCCUUAUGCAGCAGUGUAAGAUAGGGAGUAUCUCGACCAGCCUUCUAUACAUGAAACAAUGAUCAAGACUCCUUGGUUAUAUUUUGGGUUCACUGCCUAUUGAAAGCCUCUUUGUUGUUGCGGCCACAACAGAACGAAACCUUGUGUUCAGCUUUCAGGGUGUUCUAAGUACAUGAGAUGCCAGGGAACUUUCCCUUCUUGAAGAGUCGAGCCCAUUGGCACGGGCCCAUAGGUCCAACUCGCUUUAGUUUAGUGUAAACCGAGUUGUCCAUGUUGUCCACGUUACCAAACCCGGUGUAUACCAAGGUGUAAAGCGAAUUAUGUAUGUUGUUCUCGCUAUCAACCCGGUGGGUGUAAAGUGAAUUGUCCCGAGUGUAUGUGGUGGAUAACGAAGUGUAAAGCGAAUUGUCCUGGACAACACGAAGUCGAGGACAACAAAAAAAUAGGCAUGAAUUUUGGGACGCAAAUGUCAUUUUCAAAAUUAUCAAGGACGAAAAAUACCGAAGUCCUUUAGUUAGGAAUUUUAAUAAAUCCACCCCUUAUUUUGUCAAUUGAAGUAUUUUGGUCCCCCAACAUUAUCACUCUAAUAAUACCAAACAUUGUUAUUCUUGUGGUAGUAAAAAACAUGUUCAGAUGAUAUGCAAGAUUCGUAAAAUGCAAAAUGUUCUUCGUUUUGUUUCAAAGGAAUCGGGAAAGAUAAACUUUGAUUCUCGACUCUUAACAAACAGAGUAAAAGACUAUUAUGUUGAUUCUUCGUCUACUCGUUAUACUCCAAAAUCAUUUAAAAGAGGGAAUACGAAAAAUGAUUUUAAACGAGCAAGUUUUGUCUCUCAUCCUUCAAAAUGAGUAGUCUCUGAACCAUUCUUCGAUUAUGAUGAUGUAUCAUAUCUCAAGAAAUGGAAGAGGAAAAACAGUCAAAAAUAAUGCACUGUUACGUAAGCACAAAUUUCUCCGUACCCAAGCACUCAUGUGUUAUAUAAAUUUGUUUAAAAUAGGUAAUUCCAGUUAUUUCCUCUUAAGUAAGAUUUCCGAAAAAUCUUCAAAUAAUUCGAAUAAAAAGUUUCUUUUUAUAAGAGGUUAAAAAUCUUAUAAUAACCUAACUCAUAUUCGAACCUUUCAUGUUUUUUCAAAUAUGAAAGACCUAAAGAAUGCCAUAUCUGAUUUGAUAUACUCAUGUAUAUUUCAUGAUCUAUUAACUAUAAAAACUCAUAUAAUUCUUUUCACUGAGAACAAAAUAUCGUACAGUGAAUUUGUGAUCCAAGAUUAAAGUCUUAAGUGUUAUAUGAAAAUGAUUAAGCUUAGUAUUCAAUUGGCUAGUUUCGGCUAACCAUUCAUGAAGGAUGUCUUUGUACAUGGUUUGGUUUCAGUUCAUCCUAACCAGAAUGUACAUAAUGAAAGGGUUAUUUUUUAUUUUCAAUAUUAGGAGGGUAGGCGAGUAGGGUAGGUCAAUUUCGAGUUUUACACAUCACCCUACCUAUUUGACGGCGGGUAAGAAAUUUUUAACCUUCACCCGACCCAGCAACUGACGGGUAGGGUAGGAUAGGAUACCGAUAAAACAGUGGGGGUAGGGUUGGGUAUGUACACCCCUAAGGCCCUAACCAUGCAAUUCAUAUUCUGAGUCAAUUUAUGUCUGCUCCGUGCUCAACACACUAUUUAGAUUUUCUAUGUAUC